CCAAUAGCGUAUAUUAAAGUUGUUGCAGUUAAAAAGCUCGUAGUUGAACUUCGGGGUUUACUCAUUGGUCAGGCUUAAUUGUUUGUACUGGUGAGAUGAAUCUCUACCUUCUGAGGAACUUUCAUGCCAUUUAUUUAGUGUGAUUGGAAAUCAGGACUGUUACUUUGAAAAAAUUAGUGUGUUUAAAGCAGGCUAACGUCUGAAUACAUUAGCAUGGAAUAAUGAAAUAGGACGGCUUGAUUCUAUUUCGUUGGUUUCUAGGAUCACCGUAAUGAUUAAUAGGGAUAGUUGGGGGCAUUAGUAUUCAAUUGUCAGAGGUGAAAUUCUUGGAUUUAUUGAAGACUAACUACUGCGAAAGCAUUUGCCAAGGAUGUUUUCAUUAAUCAAGAACGAAAGUUAGGGGAUCGAAGACGAUCAGAUACCGUCGUAGUCUUAACCAUAAACUAUGCCGACUAGGGAUCGGACGAAGUUAAUUAAUAAUGACGCGUUCGGCACCUUACG
rnacentral:rRNA from 1 species